GGGUCGAAUUGGAGCUACAGCUGCUGGCCUAUACCACAGCCAAAGCAAUACAGGAUUCAAACCACAGGGGCAACCUACACCACAGCUCAGGGCAACGCUGUAUCCUUUAACCCACUGAGCAAGGCCAGGGAUUGAACCGCGUCUUCAUGGAUACUAGUCGGGUUUGUUACCACUGAGACAUGACGGGAACUCCCUCCAGGUAAUUUUUUAUAGAACUUUAUCACCAAAUUCAUUCAUAUAAAAAGAAAAGAUAGUUUACAAAGAAUAAACAAGCAAUUUGUUUUUAAGGUACUUUUUUGUUCAUUGACUUGAAUGUCCUACCACCAGUCCCAAACUAUUUUAACAGGGGAUUUAACUAAAUGGAUGAACAUAUUUCUAUCUGUAGCUCAGAAUCGAUCCCUGGCUUAGGAACCCACUUCAGCCAUUUAAAAAAAAAAAAAAAUUACUUAUCAUGCUAAAUGCUAAAUAUUUUGGAGGCAUUGUAAUCCCAUCUGCAGAAAAGUCUGGUUUAUUUAAAUUUAUCAUGGGAGAACAGGUACAUGUGUGUUUUUUAAAAAUCAUUCCCUUCAUUAAAAAAAAAUCAUUCACUUCAUGUACUGUCAUAUUCUAUUUUGAAAACCCACUAUCCAAUUUAGUUUCUUUUCCAAAUAGUCACAUUUUUGGACAAUAACAAUGAUAUGACCUAAUAAACUAAGCAAAUGAUGUGAAUUAAUAUACACAUGCCUCUAUGAUGCCCAUGGAGUAAAUACAAUCAACCAGAAAGAAUAUCAAAAAAUCAAAUGAGCUUUUCCUACUCUAUCAAUUUCUUUUCCUUGUAAUUCUAUUUUCAAGAAGAAAUUCUGGCAAACUCUAAACCAUCUAACUGUAAUUUGGGCUUAGGGAGGGUGGUAACUAAACAACAGAACUUGAAAUAAGACAGGAAGGAGUUUUUAAUAUUUUAUAAUGAUGAUUUAUUUAUAAGUAAAUGCAUUUGUUCUCACACAUAUUGCCACCCAAAUAAACACACAUUAUACAUUGCAAAUAAGUCAUUUUCUUUUCUACUUAUGAUAAAGAGCAGUAAGAUAUUUAAAGACAGCAAAUUUCAAAUAAUUUCUGCCUCAUAGAUAAUAAUAAAGGUAUGAUUUAUUUAACACCUUUCACCAAGUUCCUGAAAGUUCAGUGAUGUCAAAUAAAUCCAUAACAUAAGGAAAUAAGUAGCACAAGAGCCCUGCCAGCCACCCCUUUUUACAGAUGGAAUAUGACAACUUAAGCAAUUUACCCAGAGGUCAGGGAGCUAAUUCCUGGCAUUCAAUCAAUAGAUAUUUAUUAAUGGCUUCUAUAGCGAGGACUCCGUGUUGGAUGCUUGGAUGAAAAAUACUUUCCUCUUUUUGCUUAUUUGUAGCUUCUCAUUUUUCUACCAAAAAAACCCAAAUCUUACUUGGGUAAUAAAAGAAAAUGUUUAAAACAAUAAUGUAAGGCUAAAUGAAUCUGGAGAAGAGCAAAGUUCUGGAAUCUGAAAUAUUUGAAAAUAAGAAAAAGUGAGAUCAAGGUCUCCCAUCUUCCACUAUACACGUUUGCCUAAAGAAAAAAUAAUUAAAUAAAUAAAACAGGUUAGUAAUUGGAUUUUAUAAAGAAAACUGAUUUAGAGCCAGCAAAUCUAUGUUCUCAGCCUAGUCUGUUAUCUCCUUGAUGGAAUAAAUAACUUUGAGCCAUUUACUUAACUUCUUUCUACCCCAGAUUCUUCUACCCAUAAAACUUUUAAAAGGACCCCUGUGUAGAUUCAAGGUAAUAUAUUAGACAGUUACAAAAAAAUCAUUUUAUAAAUAUUAAAUUCCUACCAAACAUUGGCCUUAACACAUAACUAUUUGGCCAACAGUUAUGCAUAUUUUCAUCAAACAGAGACAAAGGCAAGGUGUCAUUUUAACAAAAUUUCUGACACAGAGUUUGUUGCUAGAGAUAUUAAAACACAGUCUCUGCCCUACUGACUAUCUCCUACCAUUUUAUGGGUCUAGAACUCUAGAGGGAUGUGGAUAUUAUGUCUCUGCCAACAAUGUAGCAGGGAAGAUAAAGACCUUAAAAGAAUAAAAAAAAAAAAAGAUUAGGAUAACACAAUUCUGCUAAAUUACUAAAAUGAAUGAUAUAAAUUUUGCAAGUUUCUUAAUUAACUAAAUGAUUAAUUUGGAAACUUAAUUAAUGAUUAAUGACAAAUGAUAUACAUUUGAAAGGGUCUCAGUUUUUUUUACCAAUAUAGUUUACUUGGAUUUCAUAAUUUAGUUAAGUGCUUUUGUUCUCUCUGCAUGACUUUAACCCUAGUUUCAUUGAGAUAGUGUUACAACUGCCAAAAUAUGUGUUCCUGGAGAUUUGUUGUGAUGUUAUAAACUCAGAUAUCAUUUAACUCUAUUAGGAUUUUCAGUUUCCCUUAAAUGUAUUGCGAUAACAGAAACUAUCUUAGUAAGUUAAAAUGCAAAAUGUUCAAGUCACCAAUAGAUUUCCUGGGAUGAAUUAACCUGGGUGUUUCCUACCAUCACCACCAUGGCCUAAUUAACAUCUCCAACCAGUGUGUUUCUGGCUGUUCGUUUAUUCCUUUCAUAAACAUUGAACACUUCUUACACACUGUGACUAAAAAUGCAAGCAUGAAAGAAGGGGAUUUAUCCUUAAAGAUAUCAUAAGCUAGGCAUUUUCUACCCAGGCAUUUUAGAUCCAAAGUAAUAAUUUCAAUCAACUCCCUCCUCCCCAUCCUCAGGUUGCAGCAUUAAAUGAACGAAAGUGCCAAGUCUCUAGAAACAAUAGUUGAACACUCUGGACAGAACAAACUUUCAGGAUGAUUGGAAAUAACUAUAUAUGUAAGCAUAUGCAUGCUUUAAUGCAACAGCUCUCAACAAAAAAACAAAAACAAAAGCUUUUCACAAGCUACAUAAGCUAUAAUACAACACCAAAUAAAUCAAAUUUAAUUACAACUCAAUCUCCUCCUAGUCAACCAAGAGUCAGUCAGUCACUCUCCCUAACAAAUUUCAACUGUCAUUCUUUCGAUUAUCUGUGGUAUUACCAGCACUAUAGAAAUUUUUUUUUUCUUAGCUAGGACUCCAUUAGUUUAAUUACACUAGAGCAGUGGUCUCUGGAUUGCAAUAUCAGCAUCACCAGGAGAAACUGUGUAAAAUGCCAGUUUUGGUCCCUACCCCAGACCUCUUGAAUCAGGAACUCUCAGGUAGUCCCUGGCAAUCCACUCUCCCAAGCCUUUCAGGCAAUUCUAAUGCUUGUACAAGUGUAAGAAACCCUGUCCUUGAGAGAUUCUCUCACACACUCACCCUAGUCAGAGCAGAAAGUCUCUUUUUUCUAUGAAUCACUUUUUCUCAUUGUUUCAGUUACAUGGGCUGAUUUUUCCUCUACCAACCGGGUAAAGUUAUUUCCGUUAUCUCAUAAACUAUGUUGCUUUCUAAAACACAAUUAUUUUUGAAAGGAUCAAAGGAUUAUGUACAAUCACCCUCUAAAAUUUCCUUUUCUAACUUUAUUUAAGAACAGAAAAACUGUUCCAACAUUCAGUUUUACCCACUGUAAUUUUUUUUUUUUUAAAGAAAAAGAACAACAACAAAUUGAAAUGCUCAAUAGUAUGCUUAUGGAGAGUUCCUGUUGUGGCACAGCAGAAACAAAUGCAACUAGUAACUAUGAGGUCCAAGGUUCGAUCCCUGGUCUUGCCCAGUGGGUUAAAGAUCCAGAGUUGCCUUGAGCUGUGGUGUAGGUCACAGACACGGCUCAGAUCUUGCAUUGCUGUGGCUGUGGUGUAGGCCAGCAGCUGCAGCUUCUAUUCAACCCCUAGCCUGGGAACCUCCAUCUGCUGUGAGUGAGACCCUAAAAAGCAAAAAAAAAAGGAAAGCAUGCUUAUGAUUCUCAAUGUGAUAAUAACACAAGAGGUAUGUCUGUUCACUGCUCAAGCAGUACCUGGCAGGAAGACACCGACAUGGUCACAGAAGGAACUUUCUAAACAUCAGAGGCUAAACAACAGUUGCUUUUCAUUUGUUGGUAAUGAGUAGGAGUAGUUCCAAAAUUCAAGCUUAAUUCACCAGAUAAUACGCAAACUUUUCCCAUAAGAAAAGUCAAGAACAAAGUAAUCCCAUAAUGUCACUGCUAUGAAAACCAUAAUCCUAUUAAAAAAAAAAAAAAAAAGCAAAAGACAACAACAACAAAAAAAAAAACCCAACUGAGCUAAUAAACUAAUAAACUCAAAGAGCAAAGUAGCUGCAGGCUGUUUAACAGUAAUGGACUCAAAGCCUGGCCUAUGUACAAGAGCGAAGCACAAUACAUAAAUAAUUAUUGUGCAACAUGAAAAUUAUUACUGGACUUUCUAAUCAUCACACAAAUAGAAUUUCCUGUACCACACUCUUGUUUGAUGUCUGUUCCUAGAAGGCUAGAGAUGAUGUCUAAUAUAAGUGUCAAAUGCCUAGAGACAUGGAAUAGCCAACUCCCUUAACUGAUAAAAUAACCAGCCCCUUAACACACAGGGACUCUGAACUUGCUGCAGCUGCUUCUGAUUUGCAAGUGUCCACUGUGAGUAUCUUUUUUUGUCUCUUGGCUCUUAAACUUGCAAUAUAUCAUUUCUGAGGACCUUGACACUACUUCUAUAACUCUAAUUAUUGGACUGAAUUGAAACAAAAGACUCUUCGGUAACUUCAGCUUAAGACCACACAGAAACUUUUACAAUAACCUACUUAAAUAUAUCAGUUGUGUAAACUGGAAGAGAAGGUUUGGAGAGCAUUAAAGGGCCUGAAUCUCUUAUAAUCUAAAUGCAAGCUAAAUUUCAAAGACUAGAACACCUUAAAAAUUAGGUUUGGGUGGAUAUAUAAAUGUUCAAACACUGAGAGUACUUUCAUUUUCAAUGACUAGCUGGCCCAUGGUCAAUGUUAACUAUAUGAGUCAACUACUUCCAAGUUACCACUGAAAAAUAAAUACCUUGGCAAUCUGCUCCUGCACAUGAAUCCCCUCACCUGUAUACUACAAGCCUCAGUCUGCACACAAAAAGCCUCUGCCUCCUUCAGCAGACCACACAUCUUAGCUUCUAUCCAUCCCAUCCCAGUUUGAUAUCAUCAUAUAUACAGCUCCCUCUCUGCUGAUGUAGCUGUUAGCUCAAGAAGAUAGUGCCCUACAGGCAGUGUGACCAAAGAGGAUAAAAAGCAGACCAAAGAAGUAUCCUGUGACUAGAAUUUAAUGAUAACAGUUUUCUCUCAUAGCUUUUAAAGGGAUUCUGAAGACAACAUCAUUGAAAGCACGUAUAUCUGGAAUCUAAUAUGCAGCACAGGAGUUCCCGUCAUGGUGCAGUGGUUAACGAAUCCGACUAGGAACCAUGAGGUUGUGGGUUUGAUCCCUGGCCUUGCUCAGUGGGUUGAGGAUCCGGUGUUGCUGUGAGCUGUG
rnacentral:lncRNA from 1 species